UACAGAGGUCUCAAGCGUUGUUCGGAUUCAUUGGGCGUAAAGGGUGCGUAGGCGGCGCGGUAAGUCGGGUGUGAAAUCUUGGAGCUUAACUCCGAAACUGCAUUCGAUACUGCCGUGCUUGAGGACUGGAGAGGAGACUGGAAUUUACGGUGUAGCGGUGAAAUGCGUAUAUCGUAAGGAAGACCAGUGGCGAAGGCGGGUCUCUGGACAGUUCCUGACGCUGAAGCACGAAGGCCAGGGGAGCAAACGGG
rnacentral:rRNA from 1 species